rnacentral:rRNA from 1 species
GAUGAACGCUGGCGGCGUGCCUAACACAUGCAAGUCGAACGAAGCCUUCGGGCUUAGUGGCGCACGGGUGCGUAACGCGUGGGAAUCUGCCCUUUGGUUCGGAAUAACAGUUGGAAACGACUGCUAAUACCGGAUGAUGACGAAAGUCCAAAGAUUUAUCGCCAGAGGAUGAGCCCGCGUAGGAUUAGCUAGUUGGUGUGGUAAAGGCGCACCAAGGCGACGAUCCUUAGCUGGUCUGAGAGGAUGAUCAGCCACACUGGGACUGAGACACGGCCCAGACUCCUACGGGAGGCAGCAGUGGGGAAUAUUGGACAAUGGGCGAAAGCCUGAUCCAGCAAUGCCGCGUGAGUGAUGAAGGCCCUAGGGUUGUAAAGCUCUUUUACCCGGGAUGAUAAUGACAGUACCGGGAGAAUAAGCCCCGGCUAACUCCGUGCCAGCCGCCGCAGUAA